GUCUCCUUCCUUCCUGGUUCCUGCAGCAGCUGCUGCCACUGCUCAGCGCGGUGAGGAGGGAGCCGGUGACUCGGAGACGGUGACUCAGAGGCAGAGCGGCGUGAGGGCCAAGGAGCACUGGCGUCCAUGGACCCUGGGGACCCCGUCAGGAGCAGGUGACAUCCUUCCCCUUCCGCCCUGCUCCCUGCUCUACGUCCCCAGCAGGGAGUGGCCUCUCCCUUCUCCAUGGACUUCCAAGAGAGGGACCCGCCCUUCCUGCCUGAGAGUGCUCAGUCCUCAAAGCCCAGCAGUGCUCAGCAGGCCUCUGAGCUGUGGGAGGUGGUAGAGGAGCCUCGGGGCAGGCUGGGGACAGAGGGUGUCAUGCCUGAGAGGCAGGAAGGUCACCUGCUCAAGAAGAGGAAGUGGCCUCUGAAGGGCUGGCACAAGAGAUACUUUGUGCUCGAGGAUGGGAUCCUUCAUUAUGCAACAACCCGGCAAGAUAUCACCAAGGGGAAGCUCCAUGGCUCCAUCGAUGUCCGGCUGUCGGUCAUGUCCAUCAACAAAAAGGCCCAGCGCAUUGACCUUGACACUGAAGACAACAUCUACCACCUCAAGAUCAAAUCCCAGGACCUAUUCCAGAGCUGGGUGGCGCAGCUGCGUGCCCACCGCCUAGCCCACCGCCUGGACAUGCCCCGUGGCUCACUGCCCAGUACUGCUCACCGGAAGGUUCCUGGUGCCCAGCUUCCAACAGCAGCUACUGCCUCAGCCCUACCUGGGCUUGGACCGCGGGAGAAAGUGUCUUCCUGGCUGAGGGACAGUGAUGGGCUGGACCGCUGCUCUCAUGAGCUCUCUGAGUGUCAGGGGAAGCUCCAGGAACUACACAGGCUCCUCCAGAGCCUGGAGUCCCUGCACCGAAUCCCCUCAGCCCCUGUUAUCCCCACACACCAGGCCUCAGUGACAACCGAAAGACCCAAGAAGGGGAAACGGACCAGCCGCAUGUGGUGCACCCAGAGCUUUGCCAAGGAUGACACCAUUGGACGGGUUGGUCGUCUCCACGGCUCUGUUCCCAACCUGUCUCGCUACCUGGAGUCUCGGGACUCCUCAGGCACCCGUGGGCUGCCACCCACAGACUAUGCCCACCUGCAGCGCAGCUUCUGGGCCCUGGCCCAGAAGGGUAAGUGCAUGCUGGGGGAGCUGAUGGGGAGCGGACAGGAGCGAGCGAGGACUCUGAUGGUCUGCCCCACCUCCUGUAGUGCACAGCUCCCUCAGCAGCGUCCUGGCCGCCCUCACCACGGAACGGGACCGACUGAGGGACAUGCACCAGGGCUCAGAGUUGUCAAGGAUGGCGGUGAGGCCUGGGGGACAGGGUGGCUGGUGGGGGGAGAGGGCUUGAAGCUGAGGACUGCCAGCCUGGGGUCCGAUAGCAGAUCUGGGUCAGGGUUGGGAGGGGGUUGGCAGAGGAAGUCUCUGCAGAGAUGCGGCAAGGUGGGGAGGACCUCAUCCUCCUGGCACUGUGUCCCUCACCCUCUCCCUGCAGGUCUCUGAGGCCUCCACUGGCCAGAGGCGCCUCCACUCACUGUCCACCUCCUCCGACACCACAGCAGACUCUUUCAGCUCCCUCAACCCUGAGGAGCAAGAAGCUCUGUACAUGAAGGGGCGCGAGCUUACCCCCCAGCUGUCGCAGACCAGCAUCCUGUC
rnacentral:sRNA from 1 species